AUUUAGUAUCGGUGUCACAGACGGACUCUUUAACGAAGGAGAAUGAUGCUGAGAGUGGUAGUUGUGUUGUUAGCCAUAACCUUGGCUUUCGUCACAGUUCACGCAACCUGGAACUAUGAUACACACGGCCCGAUUCAUUCAGGCGGCACUUUGAAUCAUUGGCCCGGAAGGCACUACUACCGUCGUGGAUAUUACGGACACAGAAUACGUCUUCAUUACAGAAAUCGGUAUAGGAGAAGGAGGUUCCCACGUGGUGGAUAAUCACACAGCACACUCUCCGGAUCCUGUUUCUUACAAAAUAUUUGGAUAACCAACCACUGACAGGUUCUGUAAAGAUUAGGAAAGUCAUCGAAGAACAUUGUUCUUUUUUGUGUUUUAUAUAAAUAAAAACACAGUCA